UACGAAGGGUGCAAGCGUUACUCGGAAUUACUGGGCGUAAAGCGUGCGUAGGUGGUUCGUUAAGUCUGAUGUGAAAGCCCUGGGCUCAACCUGGGAAUUGCAUUGGAUACUGGCGGGCUAGAGUACGGUAGAGGGUGGCGGAAUUCCUGGUGUAGCAGUGAAAUGCGUAGAUAUCAGGAGGAACAUCCGUGGCGAAGGCGGCCACCUGGACCAGUACUGACACUGAGGCACGAAAGCGUGGGGAGUAAACAGG
rnacentral:rRNA from 1 species